AGGCUCACGAAAAGGAGAUUGGUAUACAGAGGGAUACCGGAUAUCUUCAGCAUCUUAACAGUAUGUCCAAGGUAAAUAUGGGAACUGCAAUGUGGAUGAUAAAUGCGGUGUCUGCAUUGCAUACAUUAGCAGGUGAAACCAAAGGUGUCCAAUGUCAUUGCGUGCCAGGGCUGCAUGCGAUUGUCUAGUUGUAAAUAGUCAGUUGAGUUGAACGAUGGCGUCAAGUUUGACAUGUUCCAGUUUAGUAAUGGAAAAUAGUUUACUGAAAUUGAAAAUAUUACAAAGACUUAAGAGGAGACUUAGUACAGGAACGACUCAUGUAAUUUAUAGAAAUAUGUUAUUAUUUGGCGAAUUUCGUCACCUGUAUCCUCAGUUGACAGCAGAUGAAAAGGCAUUUCAUCAGUAUACCAGAAUGAAAAUAAGUACAAAAUAAGUACCUUCAACUAUAUUGUGGAGAAAAUACAUUUUGCCUGUUAUCAUUACACAACAAACUUUCAAAGACCUAUUUCUGUUGAAGAGAGACUUUUGAUAAUCUUAAUGUAAAUAAUUGAGUUACAUACUAUUUAGUUUAUAAUAUUUUUAUUUAAUUAUUUCAGAGAAUUUGAUCACAUAUGUAAAAUUUGCAUUUAAUUGGAUCCAUUAUUGGGUUAUAACAUAUUUAUGAAAUGAGAUGGAGAAUUAGGAUUUGAAUAAUUAUUUUGAGAUGACCAUGACAUAUAAUCAUUUGAGUACCUCAAGCUGGCAGGAGAAUAGGAUGAAGAAAUAUUGGAAUAGUUUGUUUGUGUUGAUGUACAGUAACAGAUGGCUCCAUAAUAGGAUGAUUUGAGUUGAAGGAUUGAAAACCACUUAAUUGUGUUUGUGACAUUUCUUGUAACAAUAUUUCUUGAAAUUUGAUUCUAACUCGAAGUUGUUGAAAUUGAUCCAUUCUUUUGAAAUAUGGCAAUAAUGACCUCAGAAACAAAGAAUUUUCAUCUUCCGGUGUUUCAAGCAGAGCAAGCUUUUUAACCUCAAUGUCUAAUAGUUUCUGUUCUAUUUCAGAACCCUUUUCUUGUACUCUCUUUCUCUUUGAAUGCAACAGCUUUUUUGUGGACAAAGAUUGUAUUGUUUCUGAUGAUUGAGAAGCACAUAGUGUUUGUGUUUCCUACAAACU
rnacentral:lncRNA from 1 species